UUUUCAAUUUAGGUGUAAACAGAAUGUUUCACCUGAUUUACUUUAUAAAUUAGGGGUUUGUUUCACCUGAUUAUGUUACUAACUUAGGAUUUACGCUUCGAUUAGAGUUUCAAUGAUUCACAGAUUCACAAUUUUGGGGGUUUGAAGAAAGAUCAAAUCCCAUCAGAGCUUCAGCCUUCCAAUGAGUAAUUUGUUAUCGCUCUCUCUUAUUCAUCUUAAGAAGAAGUUUGUAAUGGAAGUAGCAGUAGACAAAAUCAAACACUCCACAUCAAUUUCAAUCUCCAUCAAGCCUAAAUUGACUGGAUUCAACAUACUCUCCAAAUCAGAGUUCUUCAAGUAAGUGCGAUCUAAUUACCUAUUCAGAAUGGAAUGUCAAUUUUCUUUCGUGCACUUUAGGGUUCCACAAAAAUGAUCCCAAUUUGUAGCUGCAUGUUUGGGUUUAGAAACGGAGCCUGAUGGUAAUUUGGUAUUUAAUUUUCUCCCUAUUCAGAAAAUGUCGAAUCCAAGCAAACUGCAAUGCAAACUCUCUCUUUGAUUUCUUCUAUUUUCGUGGAAUGUAUCGGUGAUUCCUCCUUUUUCUUUUACUUUAUCUCUUUCGAAAUUUUGUUGGUCUCCGAUUGUGUGUCAUGAUUCGAAACCGAUUCCAAAAUCGAAGUUUUGAAUAUGAUAGUUUUUAAUGUUAAAAACGUUAUUGUUUUGAGUGAUAAAAACAUUCAAUUCGUCCUAAUUAGUUCAUUGUUGUAAUUGGAGGAUUUUUUGAAAAUACCAAAAUUGAGUGAUCAUGACAGUAUUCUACCUAUAAUUCUUUCUCUUUUGUGAACUUUAUGUGUUUAUGAAAAUGCCUAAGUUACAAUCUUAUUGUUUAGUUUCAAUUGAAUCCAUGGAUGGCAUAGAAUUGUAUUUUCUGUAUCUAUUUCGAAGAAAGUGAAUCCAUGAUGGAAAAAGAUCAGAAGCGUUCUUGCAAGAGAGAGACAUGACAAGCCAUGGUGACAAACACAAAAUAGCAGCAGUGGAAAAAUUGUGCAGGACGACGAGUUUCCUUUUCAAGCGCAAUGCGGCUCCUAUUAUUAACCUCCGUAGGAGCCCCCUAUUGAUAGAGUAGGCCCAAUAUCAAGAAUCAUUAAAUCUACAUAAGCAAAUGUUGUGCCGUUAUUCAAUUUCUGCAACAAGAGAGACCAAUUGGACUUCUAACUUGGUGUGUCGAGUCACUGAGAAAUACCCUUGAGGAUACUUUUAUUGAUAUUUUUCGCAUUUCCCUUUUGUUACUCUCUUUGUACUUAUAAAUGUAUAUUAUUGAUUAAAAUAUCAUUGAAUGAAGAGUUUGAAUUUAUUUUUUCACGGAAUAGCAGGCACAUAGUGCGUGUCUUUUUCA